rnacentral:lncRNA from 1 species
UUUUCAAUGACUUCCUCAAACUUCUCACUUACCCUUCAGUGCUGGCAUCGUCCAGGUCAUAGGAGAAGAGACCUCUCCUGACGGAGCAAUAUCCUGGUCCCUAGGAAGCAUUCCCUGUGAUUUUGGUUGGUUCAUUAGAGGUCUGGAGAAUGGCAGCAAAAUGAACAAUAUGAGAAUUAAGAAUACAAUGGCAACUUGAAAAAUAAAGGAUAUAGGACACAGUUGAAAAUGGAGGAUGUAGGAUCAUUCUAUUAGAAGAAUAAAAUAGUUUGCAAAUAUACAAGAACAUGCAGGCAGAUGUACCUAGAAAGGACCUGAGAACUC